GGCCCUUUGUAUUCGUACGAAGGUAUCCUAGUGGCGAACGGGUGAGUAACGCGUUGGUGACCUGCCCCGAAGUCUGGGAUAACAGUUCGAAAGGACUGCUAAUACCGGAUGUGGUCAUCGGAUUUAGAAACCGAUGUCUAAAGGAUUUAUUCGCUUCGGGAGGGGCCUGCGUCCCAUCAGCUAGUUGGUAGGGUAACGGCCUACCAAGGCGACGACGGGUAGGGGACCUCAGAGGGUGGCCCCCCACAAUGGAACUGAAACACGGUCCAUACACCUACGGGUGGCAGCAGUAGGGAAUAUUGCACAAUGGGCGAAAGCCUGAUGCAGCAACGCCGCGUGCGCGAAGAAGGUCUUCGGAUCGUAAAGCGCUUUUCUGGGAGAUGAGAAAGGACAGUAUCCCAGGAAUAAGUCUCGGCUAACUACGUGCCAGCAGCCGCGGUAAAACGUAGGAGGCGAGCGUUAUCCGGAUUCACUGGGCGUAAAGCGCGUGCAGGCGGUUUGGUAAGUUGGGCGUGAAAGCUCCCGGCUCAACUGGGAGAGGUCGUCCAAAACUACCAGACUAGAGAGCGAUAGAGGAAAAUGGAAUUCCCGGUGUAGUGGUGAAAUGCGUAGAUAUCGGGAGGAACACCAGUGGCGAAGGCGAUUUUCUGGAUCGUUUCUGACGCUCAGACGCGAAAGCUAGGGUAGCAAACGGGAUUAGAGACCCCGGUAGUCCUAGCUGUAAACGAUGUGAACUUGGCGUUGGUGGGUUAAACUCCAUCAGUGCCGUAGCUAACGCGAUAAGUUCACCGCCUGGGGACU
rnacentral:rRNA from 1 species